AACGAACGCUGGCGGCAUGCCUAACACAUGCAAGUCGAACGAGACCUUCGGGUCUAGUGGCGCACGGGUGCGUAACGCGUGGGAACCUGCCCUUAGGUUCGGAAUAACUCCCCGAAAGGGGUGCUAAUACCGGAUAAUGUCUUCGGACCAAAGAUUUAUCGCCUUUGGAUGGGCCCGCGUUGGAUUAGCUAGUUGGUAGGGUAAAAGCCUACCAAGGCGACGAUCCAUAGCUGGUCUGAGAGGAUGAUCAGCCACACUGGGACUGAGACACGGCCCAGACUCCUACGGGAGGAAGCAGUGGGGAAUAUUGGAAAAUGGGCGAAAGCCUGAACAAGCAAUGCCGCGUGAGUGAUGAAGGCCUUAGGGUUGUAAAGCUCUUUUACCCGGGAUGAUAAUGACAGUACCGGGAGAAUAAGCUCCGGCUAACUCCGUG
rnacentral:rRNA from 1 species